GGGAUGGGGGCACGGUGGGAUGGGGUCGGGGUGGGCGCCCCCCAGCCCCGGUAGGGCGCACGGAGGGGGGGGUCCCGGCUCCGGUGGGCGGCCGGCAGGUGGCGGCGUUGUGCUGCGGGAACGGGACCGGGCGGGGCCCAACCGGGACAGCUCCGAACCGGGACAGCUCCGAACCGGGACAGCUCCGAACCGGGACAGCACCGGGCCGGGACAGCUCCGAACCGGGACAGCUCCGAACCGGGACAGCUCCGAAUCAGGACCUCACCAAACCGGGACAUCACCGAACCAGGACAUCACCGAACCAGGACCAAGCUGUACCAGCGCACAGCCGAGCCGGGUCCCCAGGCUUCACCCCGCAGCUCCGGGCUGGCCCCAAGAGAGCCUGCGCUGCCCCUGCCCCCCCAGCCGCCUGCCCCUUCCUCGGACACAUCCUGCGCCCCCUGCCCCGUGGGGCGCAUCUCCGAGCGGCGCUGGGGGGACACCCACUGGUGCUCCGGGACUAAAGGCUGGAGAAGCCGCUGCGAGCAUCCCACGGGCGCCUCGGCAUCCCUCCGAGCCAGGAGCCGUGGUCCAGGGAGGGGAAAGGCCACUGAGUCACCCCCCGUGCCGUGAGUCAGCUGCGGCACCGGGACAGGAACCGCGUCCGGACGCCUCUGCCCUCGCUCUGCCCCCUUGACCACGCUCCGUGCAGGCUGGAUCCUGUACCCCCAGGGCAGAAAUGGGCCUGGUGAGGGGGGGGGGGCACGGGCAGGGCAGCGCGCGGUGCUGCCCGCGGCACGGGGCACGCUUUGAGAGCGCGGUGUUUCCGCAGGAGCCGCUGGGGAGGAAGGGCAGGGUGGGCUGGGGGCUACACGAGGGCAGGGGCCCGGGGGGGGGCCACGGCACGGCUGGGCUGCAUGUGCCACAUCAAAGCCGCCCCCGCCGGGAGGAAGCCCUGCAAGCGCUCGUGCCGAGAGCGGCCCUGGGCUGCGGCUCCCUCAUGGGCUAUAAAUUUCUCCGAAGAA